CUUCCGAUCUUCUUGAGCUUAUGGAGGGCAUGGAGAAGAGGAGGCUGAUGAGCUCUCAACUCCAGGAUGAAGUUUUCGUAUUCUGUGAUACAUUUAAGUGUCAAUGUGGAGUCCACUGCAGAUGACCCACCAUGAACAGGAUGAUUUGGUUUGAGGCCCAUGUCCCUGCCAACAAAGGGGUGACGUAUUUCAUCGUAAUGAAAGAUUCAUGGUCUCGAUGUUCCACUUUGCAUUCACUGCAUUGAGAAGGAAGAGGCACAGAGAAGAGAUGUAACGGCAGCAAAGGGAGACAAUAAGAAGUCAUGUGGGUCCUGAGAUGACACGAAUCAGUGAAACCAGUGGGAAAAUGGACACAACAGCUUUGGACUGAUGCAGAAGUCUUGAUGCCACAGGAAGAUACAAAAUAUGUUCAAUUUAUUUGAAUGCAAAUGAAAAACAAUGUUUGAUCUUAAAAUGAUUGAUAAAAAACUAAGACAUUGUACAAAAUUCAAGCACAAUGGGACAUUCAAGUAUUCAGCACAUUAAGAGUAACACAUAUCCUGUUGGGAGUGUCCAGCACACAUUGGUCAGUCUGUGUUGAAAGAAGAUCUGUAGGAUUUCUUCUUCAAAUUUUCUAGAAAGAUCUGCUCGUCUUGCAGGUACUCACGGUCCUGUGGGCAGAAAAAAAAAACUAGUUAUGUGAGACAGAGAUUUGAAACUUUAACAGUAUUUUAAAUAAAAAUGUCUGCAGUUGUUCAACAUUUGCAUCCAUUGACGCAUGAGUGUGUUAGUGUCAUAGUGUGUUAAAUGUGUUGGAAAGCUGAUGUGGAAUUGUGAGUGAGCCCAACACUUUCCUGUAAUUGUACCUGUUUUGACUUCAUACUAAGAAUUAAAGCCUGCAACAACC